AAUAGAUACCCUGGUAGUCCACGCCGUAAACGAUGAGUGCUAAGUGUUAGAGGGUUUCCGCCCUUUAGUGCUGCAGCUAACGCAUUAAGCACUCCGCCUGGGGAGUACGGCCGCAAGGCUGAAACUCAAAGGAAUUGACGGGGGCCCGCACAAGCGGUGGAGCAUGUGGUUUAAUUCGAAGCAACGCGAAGAACCUUACCAGGUCUUGACAUCCUCUGACCUCCCUGGAGGCAGGGCCUUCCCCUUCGGGGGACAGAGUGACAGGUGGUGCAUGGUUGUCGUCAGCUCGUGUCGUGAGAUGUUGGGUUAAGUCCCGCAACGAGCGCAACCCUUGACCUUAGUUGCCAGCAUUCAGUUGGGCACUCUAAGGUGACUGCCGGUGACAAACCGGAGGAAGGUGGGGAUGACGUCAAAUCAUCAUGCCCCUUAUGACCUGGGCUACACACGUGCUACAAUGGAUGGUACAAAGGGCUGCGAGACCGCGAGGUUAAGCCAAUCCCAGAAAACCAUUCCCAGUUCGGAUUGCAGGCUGCAACCCG
rnacentral:rRNA from 1 species